rnacentral:snoRNA from 12 species
UGGCGAUGAGGAGACCAUUACUGUGUUGAAUAAUGAUGAUAGUUCUAUACGCUAUUCUGAGCCAGCA